rnacentral:rRNA from 1 species
UACGGAGGGUGCUAGCGUUGUUCGGAAUUACUGGGCGUAAAGGGCGCGUAGGCGGCUGCUCAAGUCGGGUGUGAAAGCCCGGGGCUCAACCCCGGAACGGCACCCGAGACUGGGCGGCUCGAGACCGGGAGAGGAGGGUGGAAUACCCAGUGUAGAGGUGAAAUUCGUAGAUAUUGGGUGGAACACCGGUGGCGAAAGCGGCUCUCUGGCCCGGUUCUGACGCUGAGGCGCGAAAGCGUGGGGAGCAAACAGG